GGCUUUACGGACAUUUGCGACUAAAAGCGAGUUUCCUAAACCGUGCGUCGCAGGUUCGAUUCCUGCCGGGG
rnacentral:tRNA from 1 species